rnacentral:rRNA from 1 species
AGAGUUUGAUCAUGGCUCAGGAUGAACGCUGGCGGUCUGCUUAACACAUGCAAGUCGAACGCAAGUAGCAAUACUUGAGUGGCGGACGGGUGAGUAACGCGUGAGAAUCUGCCUUUUGGUCGGGGACAACCACUGGAAACGGUGGCUAAUACCGGAUAUGCCUAACGGUGAAAGAUUAAUUGCCAGAAGAGGAGCUCGCGUCUGAUUAGCUAGUUGGUGAGGUAAGAGCUCACCAAGGCAUCGAUCAGUAGCUGGUCUGAGAGGAUGAUCAGCCACACUGGGACUGAGACACGGCCCAGACUCCUACGGGAGGCAGCAGUGGGGAAUUUUCCGCAAUGGGCGAAAGCCUGACGGAGCAAGACCGCGUGAGGGAGGAAGGCUCUUGGGUUGUAAACCUCUUUUGUCAGGGAAGAACACAAUGACGGUACCUGAAGAAUCAGCAUCGGCUAACUCCGUGCCAGCAGCCGCGGUAAUACGGGGGAUGCAAGCGUUAUCCGGAAUUAUUGGGCGUAAAGCGUCCGCAGGUGGCUAAUCAAGUCUGCUGUCAAAGAUUGGGGCUUAACCCCAAAAAGGCAGUGGAAACUGAGAAGCUAGAGUGCAGUAGGGGUAGAGGGAAUUCCCGGUGUAGCGGUGAAAUGCGUAGAGAUCGGGAAGAACAUCGGUGGCGAAAGCGCUCUACUGGACUGCAACUGACACUCAGGGACGAAAGCUAGGGGAGCGAAUGGGAUUAGAUACCCCCGUAGUCC